AUGAUAAUAAUUCCUACAUGUCAACGGCGAUAACAGAAUAUCCGAAUAGCUUUACAUUGAAACAAGUUUGCAAGAGCUCCACUUUUUUCAGUGGGUGACCUAAAACUGGUUUUGCAUGUGGACAAAAUCUACAACAUCUACAUUUUGCACAACACAGGUGUGCACAAGGCCUGAGAGAUUACACCAUCGGCAGCUGUUUCCAAGGUCAAGAAUGAACUUUCGGUUUCAAAUUCUGCUGCAGCACUGUGCAAUAAAAAUAGCAAGAACAAAACGAACCGACGUGGUAUUAAUCAUGACAUUUAAAAGCACUUGAAAGAACUGCAGCUGACUUUCUAGACGCACUUCCAUAUCACAUGUACGCUACUUGAGCAGAGCAGAAUGAGCAGCAUGAGGUGAAACUACUGAGCGUGUUUGGUGACGCUGAGUUGCCCUUGUUUGGUCAAUGUCUCACCAAAGCCUUCCUCUCAACACUUCCACCUUCACAUGCUCAUUCGCUGUGGGAACCCCUGUCACAACAUGGCCCUGCGACGGUUUAGAAAGGAAAACCCAAGAAUCAGGUCGUAUCUAAUGUACUAAGACUGUAAAUGAUGAGCUGUUUCUGCACCUUUAGGGGCAGAAAGAUGCAAAGAAGCAACAAGUCAUGUAGACGUUUGAGUAAGAGGGGGUGAGUUUUGCUUUUUUGUACUUUUUUGGCAGCAACAAUCCUGAUUUAAACACCAAGUAUGAACACAAGGGUCUCUCCAAGUCCCGGGAACAAUCCAAACCAUCCCAGAAGAGUCGGACGGAGGAAACCUGAGCAGGAAUCCUCCAGGAACCUCCGGACGGACGAUAACGUCAGAGCAGGCCGCGGCGACGUCGACUCCAGAGGCGACCAACGGACAACGAGGCUGCUAACGGUGUGUGAACAGAGCUCCCUGACGCCAUAAAGUCCUGCCUAUGUGUAAGAAGUUGACCUUUUUGCUAAAUAUUAACUUGUUUGUGGUUCUUAUAUCAAUAGAAGAUGAAGUUAUUUUGAUAUAGUUCAUCAAUAAAACUAUCAAAUAUUAAAAGCUGAUCUUAAAAACUGC